UACGGAGGGGGCUAGCGUUGUUCGGAAUUACUGGGCGUAAAGCGCGCGUAGGCGGCUUUGCAAGUUGGGGGUGAAAUCCCGGGGCUCAACCUCGGAAUUGCCUUCAAGACUGCUUGGCUUGAGUUCGGGAGAGGUGAGUGGAAUUCCCAGUGUAGAGGUGAAAUUCGUAGAGAUUGGGAAGAACACCAGUGGCGAAGGCGGCUCACUGGCCCGCAACUGACGCUGAGGAGCGAAAGCGUGGGGAGCAAACAGG
rnacentral:rRNA from 1 species